rnacentral:rRNA from 1 species
UAGGGAAUCUUCCGCAAUGGACGAAAGUCUGACGGAGCAACGCCGCGUGAGUGAAGAAGGAUUUCGGUUCGUAAAACUCUGUUGUUAGGGAAGAAAAAAUGUAUAGUAACUAUAUACAAAAGAGACGGUACCUAACCAGAAAGCCACGGCUAACUACGUGCCAGCAGCCGCGGUAAUACGUAGGUGGCAAGCGUUGUCCGGAAUUAUUGGGCGUAAAGCGCGCGCAGUGGGUUUAGAAAGUCUGAUGUGAAAGCCCACGGCUCAACCGUGUAGAGUCAUUGGAAACUAAUAAACUUGAGUGCAGGAGAGAAAAGUGGAAUUCCUAGUGUAGCGGUGAAAUGCGUAGAGAUUAGGAGGAACACCAGUGGCGAAAGCGGCUUUUUGGCCUGCAACUGACACUGAGGCGCGAAAGCGUGGGUAUCAAACAGG